rnacentral:sRNA from 1 species
AUUUGAAUUGGUGAACUUAGUAAAGCAGACGGCUCUCACCAAUAAGGGCAGGCAUCAUCCAAUCUGUCGAAAGCUUGAAUAAAACAAAAAGAGGAAGGGAAAAUUUGCUUCUUCUCUUCUUCAUCUAGUAUAUCAUCUUCUCCUGCCCUUGGAUAUGAGUGGGCCUUCAGACUUAAACCAGGAGUUACAUCUUUGGCUUCCCUGGUUCUCAGUUCUUUGGACUUGGACUGAAUUACACUGCCAGCUUUCCUGGUUCUCCAGCUUGCAGAUGGCAGAUCAUGGGACUUCUUGGCCUCCAUAAUUGUUUUCAUAUCUCUAGGCCUUUCAUUGGGUCAGGUUGGCAUUUUGCUGCCCUUUAUGUGUGUGACAAGUGAAAAUAAGGAAAGAAAAAAACUCAAGUGAAGAAAAUCAGAAUCUGUGCAGCAGUUCCGGGACGUUUCAGCUGCUUCCCACAUCACCUGCCUCAUCAAGCCCCAGCAUCCAUCUCCUUGCUCAUCUUACACUCCGUGUGCAUGACGGACCCACCGUUCGUUUAUCAGAGCAAAGGCUCUCCUGCUAUUCUGGUUCACCCCCCACUUAGCCAGAUAUACAAGAAUAUCUGCACAGAUGACCUGCCUCACCUGGGAGCUCAGAGGAGCUCAGAUUCCGUUACUAUCACACCAAGGACAGAUCUCCCAGCAAGAAUGACAGAAAAGACUAACUGCCCCCCAAAAUCUCCCUUCCAAAACACAGUUGUCCUAAUUCUCCCAAGAAACCAGAAUGUGACUGCUCACCUCUCUAAGGACCUGAAAACAAUUGGCCAUUUCAGCUAUUUAAAUAAACUUUAAAAAGUCCAACCCCCAAAAUAUUAAACCAUUUUGGUUGGAAUGAUAACAUAACUAACUUGCUGACAGCUGCUUCUGCUAUUUGCAAAAAUGGAAAAAAAAAUACUUCUAAUCAGGUCAAAUCACUCUACCUUUGGGAUUCUAAAUUUACUCAUAUUCUCAAAGAAAUAUAUUCAAUCACGGUGGGGAAAAUAGGAUUAUUCCUUUAGCUCAAUAAGCAACCAGAAAUUCUUCCUUCAAAUCUUGACAUUUAAUCAAUCAGAAAUUGAUUUUUGGAAAACUUGUUUCCUAUGAAGCUAUCUCUGCCUGCAGGAUUUUUCUUUUACAAUCCAGACUAUAGAAGGAAAUUCACAAUCUGGACUUUCACCUCCACUGGUCAGAGUUUUACUGACCAAUUCCCACCUCUGCCUUACACCUAACAGAAGUUUGUGCCUCUGUUUUCUCUUCACAUACCCCAACAGUUACAAAUCGUUGUUAUUAUUAAGCAUCUUUUAUUUUGUGGCCUCUAAUUAUAUGGUCCCCUAAAUUUUGACCUAAUCACAACAGAUUGGUAAAAUUUUUUAACAUAUUAAUAAUAUUUUGUUUAUGUGUCAAUAUCUUAGCAUGUAUCAAUUAAGAUGGAGGUCUUAACAUUCUCUUUUUGAAAGAGAAUAUUAAGAUUCAGAGACAUUAAGAGAUUCUCCCAGGAUCACAGUUAGGUAACAGAGCUGGAUUUUAGUCCAGGUCUGUCUACAGCUCUAACGUAUAUACACCCUUUGUAUAACAUGUCACAAAUUCAGCAUAAAGGGAUCUUCAGUGAUCUAAGUCAGCGGUCAGCAAACCUUUGCUAAAAAGGACCAAAUAGUAAUAUUUCAGGCUUUGUGGACAUUAUGGUCUCUAUCACAACUGUUCAAAUCACCAUGUAGUGUAAAAGGAGCCAUAAGCAAAAUAUAAACUAACCAAUGUGGCUGUUUUAUGGGAUUUUUUUUAACUCUUUAUUUACAAAAGCAGGUGGCAGGUCAGAACUCGCUUAUGGGCCAUAGUUCUCUGACCCCUGACCUGAGAAAAUCUUAUAUUUAUGGACAACAUUUAGACUGUGACCUGCCGAGUAGGAAUGAGAAGCUCUGUCAACUGAAGAUCAAGGCUGGAGUUCUGAAAGCAAAGAGCUGUCUGGUGUUAAUGAUAAGUGAAAUAGUUAAAGUUAGAAGAUCCCAGUUAUAAGAAGCACAAAGAAUAAUGACCAUAGACUCCUGAACAAGAAUGUCUGGACUUCUGGCUUAGGCACUGUGGCUGUAUGGUCCUGGCCAAGUUACCUAAUCUCUCCAGGCCUCCAUUUUCUUCUCAUUAAAUGAAGAUAAUAAAAGUAUUUUCCUCAGAGAGCUGUAAGAAUAAAAUGAGCUAACCCAUGUCAAGCACAUAGAAUAGGGCCCAGCCUAUAUUAAUUUAUCAAUAAAUGCCAGCUACAUAUUAGUUC